rnacentral:rRNA from 1 species
UGGGGAAUAUUGCACAAUGGGCGCAAGCCUGAUGCAGCCAUGCCGCGUGUAUGAAGAAGGCCUUCGGGUUGUAAAGUACUUUCAGCGGGGAGGAAGGGAGUAAAGUUAAUACCUUUGCUCAUUGACGUUACCCGCAGAAGAAGCACCGGCUAACUCCGUGCCAGCAGCCGCGGUAAUACGGAGGGUGCAAGCGUUAAUCGGAAUUACUGGGCGUAAAGCGCACGCAGGCGGUUUGUUAAGUCAGAUGUGAAAUCCCCGGGCUCAACCUGGGAACUGCAUCUGAUACUGGCAAGCUUGAGUCUCGUAGAGGGGGGUAGAAUUCCAGGUGUAGCGGUGAAAUGCGUAGAGAUCUGGAGGAACACCAGUGGCGAAGGCGGCUCUCUGGUCUGUAACUGACGCUGAGGAUCGAAAGCGUGGGGAGCAAACAGG